rnacentral:rRNA from 1 species
GACGAACGCUGGCGGCGUGCUUAACACAUGCAAGUCGAACGAUGAAGCCGGAGCUUGCUCUGGUGAAUUAGUGGCGAACGGGUGAGUAACACGUGAGUAACCUGCCCUUGACUCUGGGAUAACUGCUAGAAAUGGUAGCUAAUACCGGCUACGACCCUCGGAGGCAUCUCCAGGGGGGUGAAAGAAUUUCGGUAAAGGAUGGACUCGCGGCCUAGCAGCUAGUUGGUGAGGUAAAGGCUCACCAAGGCGACGACGGGUAGCCGGCCUGAGGGGGUGACCGGCCACACUGGGCCUGAGACACGGCCCAGACUCCUACGGGAGGCAGCAGUGGGGAAUAUUGCACAAUGGGCGCAAGCCUGAUGCAGCAACGCCGCGUGAGGGAUGACGGCCUUCGGGUUGUAAACCUCUUUUAGUAGGGAAGAAGCGAAAGUGACGGUACCUGCAGAAAAAGCACCGGCUAACUACGUGCCAGCAGCCGCGGUAA